UACGGGGGGUGCGAGCGUUGUCCGGAAUCACUGGGCGUAAAGGGCGCGUAGGUGGUUUGAUAAGGGUGUGGUGAAAGUCCGGGGCUCAACCCCGGAUCUGCCGUGCCGACUGUCAAACUCGAGGGCUGUAGAGGCAGACGGAAUUCCGGGUGUAGCGGUGGAAUGCGUAGAGAUCCGGAAGAACACCGGUGGCGAAGGCGGUCUGCUGGGCAGUAGCUGACACUGAGGCGCGACAGCGUGGGGAGCAAACAGG
rnacentral:rRNA from 1 species